CCGGAAUUUCCGGUACGAAGAACCGGAAGUAAGUACGUGGCUGCUCCAGCUGACAUUCUGCAUGAUGGCGACAGAGGUUCGGAGCGGCGACCUCAACAGCGGUAAUUCCAGCCGGCUCGAAGUGUCCAUAGACGGCCUCACCCUAAGCCCAGAUCCCGAGGGUGAUCAGGAGCAUGUCAAGCCACUGGACUCCUCGCUGGAAGGACAGACAAAUGGAACCCAUGGAGCCGGCGAUGGCGAUGAUGGGGAGGAGGGUGAUAAUGCCAGAAGCUCCAUCGAGAGGAAAUGGGGCUUCUCUCUAGGCGAGCUCUAUGGACUGGCGCUGAAUUUUUUCAAAGAGAAGGAUGGGAAGGCGUUCCACCCGACCUACGAGGAGAAGCUGCGGCUGGUUGCGCUCCACAAGCAGGUGCUUCUGGGGGCCUAUAACCCCGACGCCUCCCCAGAAGUGGGCUUCUUUGAUGUGCUGGGAAACGACCGCAGGAGAGAGUGGUCCGCUCUGGGCUGCAUGGAGAAGGAGGAGGCCAUGGUGGAGUUUGUCAAGCUCCUGAACAAAUGCUGCCACCUGUUUGCCCCUUUCGUCACGUCACAUAGGAUUGAGCGGGAGGAACAGGAGAGAAAAAGGAGGGAGGAGGAGGCCCGCCAGCGCAGGGAGGAAGAGGAGCGGGAGCGAGCUCGUGAGGAGGAGGAGAGGAGGAGGCGCGAGGAGGAGGAGAGACUGCGCAGGGAGGAGGAGGAGAGGAGGCAGGCUGAAGAGGAGAGACUGCGUGUGGAGCAGCAGAAGCAGCAGAUCAUGGCGGCGCUGAACGCCCAGACGGCGGUGCAGUUCCAGCAGUACGCCGCUCAGCAGUACCCCGACAGCCCGGAGCAGCAGCUGGUUCUGAUCCGACAGCUGCAGGAGCAGCACUACCAGCAGUACAUGCAGCAGCUCUACCAGGUGCAGCUGGCCCAGCAGCAGGCUGCUCUUCAGAAGCAGCAGCAGCAGCAGCAGGAGGAGGCGGUGGUGGCAUCGGUGCUGGAGACCAGUGAGCCGUUGGUGUGCUCACCACCAGCGCCCCCUGCAGGAGAGGAGGUCCCCAUGCUGAACGGUCAAGCAGAGAGCACCUGCGACAGCCUCGACAAGGAGCCCGAGCUGGAACCGGCCGAGGAGAUCACAGAGAACGGCCCCACUGCGGACUCCCCUGCAGUGAUCGCGGCCCCCUCCAUGUGGACGCGCCCCCAGAUCAAGGACUUCAAGGAGAAGAUCCGGCAGGACGUGGACUCGGUGAUCACGGUGGGGCGCGGCGAGGUGGUGACGGUGCGCGUGCCGACGCACGAGGAGGGCUCCUACCUCUUCUGGGAGUUCGCCACGGACCACUACGACAUCGGCUUCGGCCUCUUCUUCGAGUGGAGCGACGCGGCCGCCACCGCCUCCGUCAGCGUGCACGUCAGCGAGUCCAGCGACGAGGACGACGACGAAGACGGUGAGAGGGGAGCGCUCGGGGGCGCUCAGCGGCCCUCUGGGAGCUCAGAGGUUCAGGCAGGAAGUAGGGCUGAAGGCGAGCCCCAGAGCGAGGAGGAGAAGGCGCGUGCGGCGGCGGGGAAGCCGCAGGUGGACGAGGUGGUGCCGGUGUACCGGCGGGACUGCCACGAGGAGGUGUACGCCGGCAGCCACCAGUACCCCGGCCGCGGCAUCUACCUGCUCAAGUUCGACAACUCCUACUCCCUCUGGAGGGCCAAGAGCGUCUACUACAGGGUCUACUACACCAGAUAAGCCCUGCAACACAAGAGACUACGGGCCUGGGUGUGUGUGUGUGUGUGUGUGUGUGUGUGUGUGUGUGUGUGUGUGUGUGUGUGUGUGUGUGUGUGUGUGUGUGUGUGUGUGUGUGUGUGUGUGUGUGUGUGUUUGAUCGUGCGCCACCUCUUCCUUUGCACUCUGGAGAAAAGGCGGCGCUGUAGAAUGUUUGGCUCAUGGAGGUCAUUAACCCCUCCCCCCUCACGGAGAAGAUAAGAGAGGAGGAGCCGGUGACAUCACUGGAGAGCCCCUGGGUCAGGGGUCGUGAGGAGAGGAGGAGCCGGUGACAUCACUGGAGAGCGCCUCGGACUGCUGCGUCCUCCCGUCUGUCCUGACGUCUGUCGUACUCAACACUAACA